rnacentral:lncRNA from 1 species
AAUCUUUUUGAAAGGUUAAUUUUAUGAGUCAUUUUGUCUUUUUGGAUUAACAACUAUGCAUCAACUAAAAAUACAAUAUAAUAAACUAAAAAAUAAAGCAAAUACUAAAAAUUAAAAAAGAUAAAAGACGUAAUAAAAGGGAUGGGCAUAUUAUUAGUACAAGAGGUAAAAAAAAUUAAAAAACUAAAGAAAAUGAAAAAGAAAAAACAAUAACAAAUAAAUAAAGUAAUAAUAAGAAAUCAAUAAAUAAAAAAUAUACAAAAGACAAAAAAUAAGCUGAAAAUUAAGGGUGUAGUUAUGAAAAUGCUUUAGGCCCAAGGGAAGGGGGCUCACAGGCGUGUUUUGAGAAAUCCAGGGAUGUGGGGGAGACUUCAUCUUCCCCAACCCCAUAUUUGAUUACUUUUCCCGUAGCAACAAGAAUGGAAGAAAAAAUGUUCCAACAAAAAUGUAAAAAUAUCACAAUUUUCUCAAUUUUUUACGGAAUUAAGCAAAUAAAUAAUGAAAAUUUAUCUACUCGAUCUCACGAACACAA